rnacentral:rRNA from 1 species
UGGGGAAUAUUGCACAAUGGGCGAAAGCCUGAUGCAGCAACGCCGCGUGAGUGAUGAAGGCCUUCGGGUUGUAAAGCUCUGUCUUUUGGGACGAUAAUGACGGUACCAAAGGAGGAAGCCACGGCUAACUACGUGCCAGCAGCCGCGGUAAUACGUAGGUGGCAAGCGUUGUCCGGAUUUACUGGGCGUAAAGGAUGCGUAGGCGGAUUUUUAAGUGAGAUGUGAAAUACCCGGGCUUAACUUGGGUGCUGCAUUUCAAACUGGGAAUCUAGAGUGCGGGAGAGGAGAAUGGAAUUCCUAGUGUAGCGGUGAAACGCGUAGAGAUUAGGAAGAACACCAGUGGCGAAGGCGAUUCUCUGGACCGUAACUGACGCUGAGGCAUGAAAGCGUGGGUAGCAAACAGGAUUAGAUACCCUGGUAGUCCACGCCGUAAACGAUGAGUACUAGGUGUAGGAGGUAUCGACCCCUUCUGUGCCGCAGUUAACACAAUAAGUACUCCGCCUGGGAAGUACGAUCGCAAGAUUAAAACUUAAAUGAAUUGACAGGGUCAUAGCUGUUUU